UACGGAGGGUGCAAGCGUUGUUCGGAAUCACUGGGCGUAAAGGGUGUGUAGGCGGCCCGCUAAGUCUGAUGUGAAAGCCCGGGGCUCACCCCCGGAAGGGCAUUGGAAACUGGCGGACUCGAGUCCCGGAGAGGAGGGUGGAAUUCCCGGUGUAGCGGUGAAAUGCGUAGAUAUCAGGAAGAACACCCGUGGCGAAGGCGGCUCUCUGGGACGGUACUGACGCUGAGACGCGAAAGCGUGGGGAGCGAACAGG
rnacentral:rRNA from 1 species